rnacentral:rRNA from 1 species
UACGAGGGGAGCUAGCGUUGUUCGGAAUUACUGGGCGUAAAGCGCGCGUAGGCGGUUUCUUAAGUCAGAGGUGAAAGCCUGGAGCUCAACUCCAGAACUGCCUUUGAAACUGGGCAACUUGAAUCUUGGAGAGGUCAGUGGAAUUCCGAGUGUAGAGGUGAAAUUCGUAGAUAUUCGGAAGAACACCAGUGGCGAAGGCGACUGACUGGACAAGUAUUGACGCUGAGGUGCGAAAGCGUGGGGAGCAAACAGG